GGAGUGCCCACUGUGGCGCAGUGGAAACGAAUCCAACUCCGACGAGUAUCCAUAAGGAUGCAGGUUCGAUCCCUGGCCUUGCUCGGUGGGUCAGGGACCUGGCGUUGCUGUGAGCUGUGCUAUAGUUUCGCAGACGCGGCUCAGAUCCCGCGUUGCUGUGGCUGCAGGCCAGCAGCUGCAGCUUGGAUUCGAACCCUAGUCUGAGCACUGCCAUAUGCCGCGGGUGUGGCCCUAAAAAAAGGAGGGGAUUCGGACAGAAGGAAGAUGAUGCCAAGACCCACAGGAAGAAGAUGGCCAUGGGAGGGGAGCGAUGGGUCUACAAGCAGGGGCGCUAAGGCGGGCUGGCAAACACCAGAAGCCAGAAGAAGCCAAGAAGGAUCCUCCGUUAGAGCUGGAAGAGAGCGCGUGGCCAGCUGCGGCCACAUCUCGAAGCAGGACUCGCGGCCUCCAGAAUGGAGACAAUGCAUUUCGGUUGCUGUAAGUCAGCCCAUGUUGGGACUUGGUCGUGGCAUCCCUGGGAAGGUCAUACAAGCUGGGCGGCUAUGCCACAGUCAAGCCAACCAAGUCAAGUUUCAGAAUGGUCUCAUGGGCUCUUUGGACUAUUUCCCAAGGGUGACUAAUGCUCCAUGGAGAGAAGCAGGCUGGGACUCAAGAGCCUGUGCUUUCUUUUUCUUUCUUCUGUCUUUCCGGGAAGCCCUUGGAACAGAUGUAAAAACAGCUCUUUACAGCCAGCCUGCCAUCCUGCUUCUAGAUGCAAGAGGCCGAGCAGAUCACCAGGGCAACAUUUAAGUAGCCCCGACCCAUUAUUUUCCCAUUCGAAAGGGGCAGCCUGGCAACUGCCCUCCGCCCAGCCCCGCUCCCCACCCCCGCCCAGCUCCCCAUCCGCCCCGCCCCCGAGACCUUGAAAGUGGCUCAAUAAUAUAUCCAUUUCUGUCAGUCUUCCUCACCAGUUGUUAGCACAUUGCAAGCAGGGACCCUGUCAUACGAAUCUUUACGGUCGGGAGUUCCGCUCCGCUUAGGAGUUCAACAGACAUUUGGUAAAAGGACUUCGUAGAGCAGUUGUUACCUCAUCCUUCAGGCCAACGUUGGAGCCAAAUGACACAAAGGAACUUACUCAAGGGAGGUUUUCCAGCCACCCAUUCUGUCAGGCUCCUUCUAGGAGCCCCUGGCAGUGACCGUGUUAUAACAAGAAUUCCACAGGUUUGCAGGAAGUCCACAGCCUCUCUUCUCCCAGGCUCUCCCCAGGCAGACUCCCAGAUGGCAAGGCAGGACAGGAGGGGGCCGAUGCUUAUGUGGAACUUGAGUGAUUGCACUUUCAAGUGAAGCGGCCGUCUGAGCUUUCUUGGAAUCAGCAUCUGCUUGGUCAAUAGAAGGUACUUUCCAUGUCCCCAGGGCCAUGGUGAGAGCUAAGCACCCAGCAGGGGCAGGAUAGACGUGCGGAGGCUCGAGGAACCUGAGUACAUACAGGUCAAAUCUCGGCACGAGUGUAUCUGAAACAAUACCUUUCGCCAUAAGGGGACGGGUCUUGGUGGCUGGCAAGGCAGCAGUUCUGCUUGCACAGAGAAAAAUCUUUACCGUAUUUGCAUGCGGUCAGUGCAUUACCAUAUUUACAUGUGAUAAGUGCCAUAACCGUCUGGUUGAAUGAUUGAGGGCUGAGCUAAGGGAUCCCGCAGAUCUGUGAGAAUUUAUUGAGCCCUUAUUAUGUGUACAUUGUGGUGGGUAAGCAGAAGCAAAAGACACAGUCACUAGAAAAAGAGUCUGCUUGUAUCAGGGAGCCAAGACUCACACGAACCAGCACAGACAGCAUAAGGAAGGGGGUGUGGGGACACAGGCCAGGCUGGGUUCCAAUCCCAGCUCUACCACAUCCAAGCAGUGUGUCUUGGCACAUUACUCAACUUCUCUCUGCCUCAAUUUCCUUAAGAGUAAAAUGGGAAUGAUACCAAUCACAGUACUGACUUCACAGUGCCACUUGAAGGACUGACUAGCAUAUAGAAACACUUAGAACACUGGCACUCGAUCAAUGUUUAUUGUUGUAGGGAUUAUUAGUAUUGACUAUACUAUUAAGUGAGAUAUUAUAUAUAAAGUGCUAAAUCGUGCCUGGCACUGAUCAAGCACUUACUCAUAUUAACUGCUAUUAUUAGUAAUAUCCGUGUUUAAGUUCUGAAUUCGUUGUCUAUGGCUGCACAACAAAACACCUUGAAAUUUAGCAGCUGAAUACAGCAAUUAACAUUUAUUAUGUCACAGAGUUUCUGUGGGUCAGGAAGUCGGCAGGCACUUAGAACUGCCUGGUUCUAGUUCAGGAGCUCUUGAAAGGUUGCAGACAGGGAAUUGCCGGGGGCUUGACUCGUAUCUCCUUCCUGGAUAGCUCGCUCACAGGGCUGGCAAGUUGACACUGGCUGCGGGCAGCAGGCCUCCGUUCUUUUCCAUGGGGUCCCCUGCCUGGGGCUGCUUGAGUGUCCUAACGAUGUGGCAGCUGGCUCCUUCCCUGCCAGAUAAUCCAACAGAGCAAGGCGGAAGCCCAAGUGUCUUUUAGAAUGAAACUCUGUGCCACAAUAACCUAUUGGUUAUGGGGCUGGCGGGGCAGGGUGGCCCUGUUCAUUUUGGGAGAGGCUACGCAAGGGUGUAAAUACCAGGAGUAGAAACCCAUUGGAGGCUACCCUGGAGGGGCUGACCACCACAAGCCCUAAAUUGUGUAGCCGAGACUGUAAGUUCCAUGGGAAAACUGAGAGGGAGAAACAUAAGAUAAGCACGCUUAAGGAAUGUUUGGCUUUUUUAAUAGCUAGAUCUUGAGGGUUGUCCAUCGCCGUUUCUUUUUCCUCAAAUUCCUUAUUUCUGUAGCAGCACUUGGAGAGCGAGGAGGCUAGGACUUUAAUAAUCAGAAGGGCAGAGGGGAGACAGAAGAAGUAGGAGGAAAAGUUUAAAAGAAGUUGGAGUUUCCAUUGUAGCUCAGCGGGUUAAGAACCGACAUAGUAUCUGUGAGGAUGCGGGUUCGAUCCCUGGCCUCGCUCAGUGGGUUAAGGAUCCGGCGUUACCACGAGCUGUGGUGUAGGUCGCAGAGGCGGCUCAGAUCUGGCAUUGCUGUGGCUGUGGCCUAGGGCAGUGGCUACAACUCCAAUGAGACCCCUAGUCUGGGAACCUCCAUAUGCCACGGGUGCAGCC
rnacentral:lncRNA from 1 species